CCGCGUGGGGGAGGAAGGUUUUUGGAUCGUAAACCCCUUUUGUCAAGGAAGAAGUUCUGACGGUACUUGACGAAUAAGCCUCGGCUAACUCCGUGCCAGCAGCCGCGGUAAUACGGAGGAGGCAAGCGUUAUCCGGAAUGAUUGGGCGUAAAGCGUCUGUAGGUGGCGAACUAAGUCUGUUGUUAAAGCUCACAGCUCAACUGUGGAAAGGCAAUGGAAACUGGUUAGCUAGAGGCUGGUAGGGGUAAAGGGAAUUCCCGGUGUAGCGGUGAAAUGCGUAGAUAUCGGGAAGAACACCGGUGGCGAAAGCGCUUUACUGGGCCAGACCUGACACUGAAGGACGAAAGCUAGGGGAGCGAAAGGGAUUAGAUACC
rnacentral:rRNA from 1 species